UAGAGUUUGAUCUGGCUCAGAUUGAACGCUGGCGGCAGGCCUAACACAUGCAAGUCGAGCGGAAACGACACUAACAAUCCUUCGGGUGCGUUAAUGGGCGUCGAGCGGCGGACGGGUGAGUAAUGCCUAGGAAAUUGCCUUGAUGUGGGGGAUAACCAUUGGAAACGAUGGCUAAUACCGCAUAAUGCCUACGGGCCAAAGAGGGGGACCUUCGGGCCUCUCGCGUCAAGAUAUGCCUAGGUGGGAUUAGCUAGUUGGUGAGGUAAUGGCUCACCAAGGCGACGAUCCCUAGCUGGUCUGAGAGGAUGAUCAGCCACACUGGAACUGAGACACGGUCCAGACUCCUACGGGAGGCAGCAGUGGGGAAUAUUGCACAAUGGGCGAAAGCCUGAUGCAGCCAUGCCGCGUGUAUGAAGAAGGCCUUCGGGUUGUAAAGUACUUUCAGUUGUGAGGAAGGGGGUAGCGUUAAUAGCGCUAUCUCUUGACGUUAGCAACAGAAGAAGCACCGGCUAACUCCGUGCCAGCCGCCG
rnacentral:rRNA from 1 species